rnacentral:rRNA from 1 species
CCUACGGGAGGCAGCAGUGAGGAAUAUUGGUCAAUGGGCGCGAGCCUGAACCAGCCAAGUAGCGUGAAGGAUGACUGCCCUACGGGUUGUAACCUUCUUUUAUAAAGGAAUACAGUGAGGCACGUGUGCCUUUUUGUAUGUACUUUAUGAAUAAGGAUCGGCUAACUCCGUGCCAGCAGCCGCGGUAAUACGGAGGAUCCGAGCGUUAUCCGGAUUUAUUGGGUUUAAAGGGAGCGUAGAUGGGUUGUUAAGUCAGGUGUGAAAGUGUGGGGCUCAACCGUAAAAUUGCAAUUGAUACUGGCAGACUGGAGUGCAGUUGAGGUAGGUGGAAUUCGAGGUGUAGCAGUGAAAUGCUUAGAUAUCACGAAGAACUCCGAUUGCGAAGGCAGCUUACUAA